GACCUGUUGGCUCACUCGGCAGCGCACCCAAUAAUUUAAUGUUUGGCUAAGGAAGUUACGUGGGAGGUCCCAGUUCGACUCUGGGACAGGCCA